GAAACUGAUGCAAGAAAAACCAAGAAACCUUAAAAUGAGGUUUUCUCAAAUUGAAACCAUUUUUGAAUUACCCUUUUGCGUAACUCUUUCCUCUUUGUGUCUUCUUUCUCCCUUCUUAUUGGGUUCGUAUGUGCAAAAAACAGA
rnacentral:ribozyme from 1 species